rnacentral:rRNA from 1 species
UAUUGUAUUACCUCCCAAGCCCCUCAACUAUUUGCGUUGUGAGCGCACGAAAAAAGGAGAUGAACUUUUCCACAAGUUUUCAGGCCGUACGUGGUGCAGCAGGUGUCAAACCUUCGCAAUGCGCGCAAGUGCGCAAAGGUGACACCAAAUGGCUUUCACAUCGGGGAGGGUUUUUUGAAGUGUAAAAAGGUUCUGGAAUAUGGGCUCCGCAAGAGUGGUGCCCGUCCCCGCGGUAAAACCCGCAGCUCAAGUGGUUGGGGGUUUUCUUUCGCCUAAAAACUCUUGUGGGGGUUUUAUCACUUUUGGUGAAAUCCCACAGCGGGAAAUUUGGUAUAUUGUCUCGGGAUUCUGGAGUGGCUCUAGGUCCUCCCAGGGUGGGGGUGAAAUCCGGUUUUCCUGGGAGGACCACCUUUGGCGAAGGCGUCCAGCUGGAACGAACCUGACGGUGAGGGACGAAAGCCAGGGGCGCGAACCGGAUUAGAUACCCGGGUAGUCCUGGCCGUAAACGAUGUGGACUUGGUGUUGGGAUGGCUUCGAGCUGCCCCAGUGCCGAAGGGAAGCUGUUAAGUCCACCGCCUGGGAAGUACGGCCGCAAGGCUGAAACUUAAA